UACGUAGGUGGCAAGCGUUGUCCGGAUUUACUGGGCGUAAAGAGCGCGCAGGCGGUCGGAUCAGUCGAAUGUGAAAGCCCCCGGCUCAACUGGGGAGGGUCAUUCGAUACUGUCCGACUCGAAGGCAGGAGAGGGAAGCGGAAUUCCCGGUGUAGAGGUGAAAUGCGUAGAUAUCGGGAGGAACACCAGUGGCGAAGGCGGCUUUCUGGCCUGUUCUUGACGCUGAGGCGCGAAAGCUAGGGGAGCGAACGGG
rnacentral:rRNA from 1 species